rnacentral:lncRNA from 10 species
GGUCUUUUGAAGGAGAAGAGGUAAAAAAUAAUCAGUUCAAAAAAUUAUACUAAAGAGGCCGGGCGCGGUGGCUCACGCCUGUAAUCCCAGCACUUCGGGAGGCCAUGGCGGGCGGAUCAUGAGGUCAGGAGAUCGAGACCAACCUGGCUAACACGGUGAAACCCCGUCUCUACUAAAAAUACAGAAAAAUUAGCCGGGCGUGGUGGCAGGCGCCUGUAGUCCCAGCUACUCAGGAGGCUGAGGCAGUAGAAUGGCGUAAACCCAGGAGGCGGAGGUUGCAGUGAGCCGAGAUCGCGCCACUGCACUCCAGCCUGGGCGAUACAGCGAGACUCCGUCUCAAAAAAAAAAAAAAAAAAAAUUAUGCUAAAGAGUAAACUCAAAGAAAGUAGAGGAAAAGAAUGAAUUAAAAAUCUGUGUUUAUAAAUAAAAAUAAAAGUAACGGAGCAAAAAGACGGGCAUUAGAAAAUAGUCAUUUCUGACCUCUGG